AUUCGAACUCCCCGUCCACUCAGACGAAGAGGGGGCCACCGUGAUGCACCGACGAAGGCGGAGAAAGCAUUCUCAGUUGUGUUUCUAGCCUCGAGAUGCUCUCCACACCUAAGAGUGGUACUCCGAGAUGGAAGACCGCUACUCCUCAGAUCUAUUCUCUUCCAGUCUCAGUGGCAGCUCCAUGCUCUCUGCUUUAAGAUAAUUUCUAGCUCGCCCCGUCCAAACUACAGCACCAAAGCCCAGCAUGAUACAGAAGUCCUGGUCUUUGAUAAUGAAAUGCUUUCCCCUUCAGGACCUUGCCUACCUCGAUUCUUCCUCUAAGCAUAUGCUCUGAUUAAAAAGGACACAAUUAGAGUCUUCUCCCCCUUCUCAUCAGGGUAUUAGUCUUUGCUGACCCAACGCUGACUCAUUCCGUGAUUCAUCUCCCCAGUGCUCUCGGAGGGCAAAUAGGUGUCAAGUCUGGGGGGACGAGCUUCUGUGAACGCGCUUUUUACUGGAACCUAUCCUACCUCAAAGCUCUUCUGCCAGAUUCCAUUAGGAAAUUGCAAGCAGAUGCAUAGAUCCAAGUGCCCUCUUCACUCCUCCUCAUAAUAUAUACACAUCAGAUUUCAGGGAGGGGCUGAGCUGACUGCCUCUCAUG
rnacentral:lncRNA from 1 species